rnacentral:lncRNA from 1 species
AUGGGACAGGACGGCCCCAGCACCACCACGGGACAGAGCCGGGGCUGCACCACCACCAGGAGCCCCACUGCACCCUGCCCGGCCUCAUCCUGCCCCACACCGCAGCAGGGAACGGGGAUCCCGCCGCGCUCACGGAGAGCGCCCAUCCCCGCGGCAGCGACCCUCCCCGUAGGAUGCUGCUUUUUACAUUUCCAGACCAAAUAUAGAAUCCUGUUGGGUGUUUUGGGCUUUUUUUUUUUUUUUUUUUUUUUUUUUUUUUUUUUUUUCUUUUUUCUUUUUUCUUUUUCCCUUUCGAAAGAUUUUUUUUUUUUUUUAAUUUUUCUCGGCUGGUGCCGUCCGGGCUGCCCCGUUGUCAGACUGACCCGCGCGGGGGGUCCCCGUGGCACACUGCCCUCGCCCGGCACGGCGAGACGGACGGACAGAUGGACGGACGGACACGGUGUGGUGCCACCCCCGCCCGGGACACCGCCGCACACGGGGACAGAGCCCCGGACGGACACGAGGACAGCGUGGGAGGCCCCGUCCCCAUCGCUCACCGACCCCACGGGGCGGCGAUGGAGCAGCACCCGGGGGUCCCGCACGGCACCGGGAGCCCCUCCGGGCGCUCGGCUGGAUCCGGGGCUGCAGCGGGGGGCGGUGGGCACCGCCCGUGCCUCCCUGGGGCUGGAUCUCCCCCACCGGAAUGGAGCAGCCUUUGGGUCCGCGCUCUCCUCCUCCUCUUCACCGCCUCCCAGCAUCGGCAUCGUCCGGGGGGGUUGCGGAUGGGGGCCCUCUCAUUGCCGUGCCCCCCGCUGCCCGCCCCACCCCACACCCCAGCGGCUUUGGCUUCUUCUCCUCUUCCUUCUCCGCACCCAAAAGAAAACUGCGGAAAUCCCGAUCUGCCGUCAGCCCCGAAGCGUGGGGCUGGGAGAUGAACCAGAGAGGGGCCCGGCCCCUCCUCGCCUUAAAUCCGGGACUGUGCCCCCCCCCCCCCCCCCGCCUCGGGGGGGGGCUCGCGCUGGGGACGGCGGCCCCGAGCCCGUCCCAUGGACACGACCCCCACGUGGCCCCCCCCAGUCCCUUCUGCUGGGGUCGGGCCCCCCCCUGUACAUACAUAGAGCCGCCAGGCGCUAUACUGUGAGCGUUCCGUUUUUUUUUUUUAUGUAUUGUCGAGAAUGGAUUUUAUGGAAGGGUUUAUUUUAUUUUUUAUUUGAUUCUUAUUUUUAUUUUCUAGACUUAGGACGCCGAAAUCUCUUGCAAUAA